UUGGGAAGUACAUUUUAAAUGUA
rnacentral:siRNA from 1 species